GUAGGGUCCAAGCGUUAAUCGGAAUUACUGGGCGUAAAGCGUGCGCAGGCGGUUGUGCAAGACCGAUGUGAAAUCCCCGGGCUUAACCUGGGAAUUGCAUUGGUGACUGCACGGCUAGAGUGUGUCAGAGGGGGGUAGAAUUCCACGUGUAGCAGUGAAAUGCGUAGAGAUGUGGAGGAAUACCGAUGGCGAGGGCAGCCCCCUGGGAUAACACUGACGCUCAUGCACGAAAGCGUGGGGGGAGCAAACAGGAUUAGAUACCCUGGUAGUCCACGCCCCUAAACGAUGUCAACUAGUUGUUGGGGAUUCAUUUCCUUAGUAACGUAGCUAACGCGUGAAGUUGACCGCCUGGGAGUACGGUCGCAAGAUUA
rnacentral:rRNA from 1 species